UUGGCUUCACACCACAGGGCGCACGCGAUUCCGUAGCUGUUCUGAGAGAGGAUGAUACGGUCACAACUUCGACCUGAACCGGCCCGACUCCUACGAGCAGCAGUGGGGAAUAUUUGACAAUGGGCGAAGCUGAUCCAGCCAUGCCGCGUGUGGUGAAGAAGCUCGGGUGUAAGCACCUUCAGUGGAAGAAAGCCUGGGGCUAAUACCCUCGAGGAAGACAUCACCCACAGAGAGCACCGGCUAACUCCGUGCCAGCAGCCGCGGUAAUACGGAGGGUGCGAGCGUUAAUCGGAAUUACUGGGCGUAAAGCGCGCGUAGGCGGUCUGAUAAGCCGGUUGUGAAAGCCCCGGGCUCAACCUGGGAACGGCAUCCGGAACUGUCAGGCUAGAGUGCAGGAGAGGAAGGUAGAAUUCCCGGUGUAGCGGUGAAAUGCGUAGAGAUCGGGAGGAAUACCAGUGGCGAAGGCGGCCUUCUGGACUGACACUGACGCUGAGGUGCGAAAGCGUGGGUAGCAAACAGGAUUAGAUACCCUGGUAGUCCACGCCGUAAACGAUGUCGACUAGCCGUUGGGCUCCUUGAGAGCUUUGUGGCGCAGUUAACGCGAUAAGUCGACCGCCUGGGGAGUACGGCCGCAAGGUUAAAACUCAAAUGAAUUGACGGGGGCCCGCACAAGCGGUGGAGCAUGUGGUUUAAUUCGAUGCAACGCGAAGAACCUUACCUACCCUUGACAUCGUGCGAACUUUCCAGAGAUGGAUUGGUGCCUUCGGGAACGCACAGACAGGUGCUGCAUGGCUGUCGUCAGCUCGUGUUGUGAAAUGUUGGGUUAAGUCCCGUAACGAGCGCAACCCUUGUCCUUAUUUGCCAGCGAGUCAUGUCGGGAACUCUAAGGAGACUGCCGGUGACAAACCGGAGGAAGGUGGGGACGACGUCAAGUCAUCAUGGCCCUUACGGGUAGGGCUACACACGUGCUACAAUGGCCGGUACAAAGGGUUGCGAAGCCGCGAGGUGGAGCUAAUCCCGAAAAGCUGGUCUCAGUCCGGAUCGGAGUCUGCAACUCGACUCCGUGAAGUCGGAAUCGCUAGUAAUCGUGAAUCAGAAUGUCACGGUGAAUACGUUCCCGGGCCUUGUACACACCGCCCGUCACACCAUGGGAGUGGACUGCACCAGAAGUGGUUAGCCUAACUUCGGAGGGCGAUCACCACGGUGUGGUUCAUGACUGGGGUGAAGUCGUAACAAGGUAACCAAUCUCUAGAGGUCCCCGUUCAGAUCCU
rnacentral:rRNA from 1 species